AACGUAGGACGCAAGCGUUAUCCGGAGUUACUGGGCGUAAAGCGCGGGCAGGCGGCCAACCAAGUCUGAUGUGAAAUCUCUUCGCUCAACGGAGAGAGGCCAUUGGAAACUGGUCGGCUGGAGGGCAGUAGAGGUAGGCGGAAUUCCGGGUGGAGUGGUGAAAUGCGUAGAGAUCCGGAGGAACACCAGAGGCGAAGGCGGCCUACUGGGCUGCACCUGACGCUGAGCCGCGAAAGCUAGGGGAGCAAACGGG
rnacentral:rRNA from 1 species